CCAGCCAGAAUUUGAGUGGAUUUCCUAAUAUUUCAUUAUUAUUAUUAUUAUUGGCGUGACUUUCUAUGUGUCUGAUUUUAGCGAGUGAUUCUAGUUAAACCUCCGCUCAGCUAUUUUGUGGUUGUUAUUUACCAAGUAGUGUGCUGUGAGUAUGUGACAAAAAAUACACAAACUGAGAAAACGAGAAAAGGCAUAGUUGAAAAAGAUAACAAAAUCAACAGAUGGACAUGGCUGCAACGAAGAACACGAACUGUACGGACGAGAGAUGGAGUCUUGAGGGGAAAACAGCUCUUGUGACUGGUGGAUCUCGUGGCAUAGGGCAUGCCAUAGUGGAAGAACUAGCAAAAUUUGGAGCCAUAGUUCACACGUGUUGUCGUAAAGAAAAUGAGUUAGAUAAGUGUUUGGAAGAAUGGAAAAAGAAGGGUUUCAAAAUAAGUGGUUCAGUUUGUGAUGUUUCACAAAGAGACCAAAGGGAAAAACUUAUAGAAACUGUUUCUUCAAUUUUUCAAGGAAAGCUCGACAUUCUUGUAAAUAAUGCUGGGGUAGCAAUAGUGAGGGCUCCUACAGAAUACUCUGCUGAAGACUAUGAGAUUCAAAUGAGAACCAAUUUCGAGUCUGCGUUCCAUUUCUCACAACUAAGUUAUCCUCUCUUAAAAGCCUCUGGAAACGGAAGCAUUGUCUUCAUUUCAUCUAUUGGGGCAACAGUGGCUUUUCCAGCUGGUACUCUCUAUGCCGCAACAAAAGGUAUGAAUAUAUAUAUAUAGACAAUAAUAAAAUAAUUACUAGCUUAAUUAUCUAUAAAAACAUUACAACAAUGGUCUGUUGUCCUAAAUAAUCCUUAUUAUUAGCUGUGAUUGUUGACUAGUCUAUAUAAGCUAGGACACGUUGAUUCUAAGUGUAUCAAGAUUCUAUUAAGGUGUAGUGUAUUGAAUUAGUUAGGAAGUUAGAGUUUGUUAGUUCUGUUAUUUUCUACUGUUGUAUUCUUGCUUCUGGUGUGUUCUAUAUAAAGACACACUUAUUGUACUGAACCCCUUUGAUGAAUGAAGAUUCAUUCCUUUUACUACUCCAUUUUUCCUCUGUUUUACAACUAAAAUGGUAUCAGAGCCAACAAUUAGCUGAGCUCCUUUUGCUUCCGCUUGUACCUGUUCUUCUUCUCCUUCGUUUUUCUUUCUUGUUCUUCUUUGGAUCUCUCUAGUUUUCAUGGCGCGAGGAGGAAGAACGUAGACUCGAACCAGGAACAAUGAAACUGCUGAAGAAUCGAAUCAAUUUGCAGUCCUUGAAGAAAACAAUAAAUAUCCAGCUAAUGAUCCUCGGAGCGCUUAUUUUCUCUCCAGCGUUGACAGUGCAUCUUCAUCCUUGGUACCAAAGAUUCUUACUGGUGCACACAACUUUAGCUCAUGGCGAAGAUCGAUGAUGGUUGCAUUAUCAGGAAGAAACAAGAUAAAGUUCGUUGAUGGUAGACUCCCAGCUCCUGAGGAAGACGAUAAGAACUACGAUUCCUGGAUUGGGUGUAAUUGUCUGGAAAUGUUUCAUCGGAAAAAUGCCCCUAGAAUUUUCCAAGUAAAAAGGUCUAUGCAGACAUUAACCCAUGGUUCUAGUGAUGUUACUUCAUAUUACACUAAACUCAAACGGCUACGGGAUCUGCUACAAUAAUACAGACAACAACCAGUGUGCACUUGUGGAGCCUUGAAGAUUAUUCAAGAAUAUGAAGAAGAGGAUAAGGUGCUUGAGUUUCUCAUUGGUCUGAAUGGGUCUUACCUAACUGCUAGAUCUCAAAUUCUGCUUCAAGAUCCACUUCCUAAUGUGAAUAAAGCCUAUGCUAGCAUAUUUCAGGAGGAGAAACAGAGAAGCAUUAUUAUACCUCAAUCUGAGAAUAACCAGCAAGUCAGUGAUAACACAGGUCAAUUUGCUGGGAAUACCCAAGCUAAUCGUGGAAAUAAUCGACCUGAUAACAAAGGUGACAAUCGUCCCAUUUGCUACCAUUGUGGUGUUCCUGGACACACCAUCGCUAAGUGCUAUAGAAUUCACGGGUAUCCUCUUGGACACAAGUUAUAUGGCGAUUUCCACGUGAGACACCUGGAAAACCAGGAAAUCAGCAAGCUAGAUCUUCAGGUAAUUGUACUAAAGGGCAUGACAGUAAUGAGCAAUCAUCAAGAUUUGGCUGCUAAAUGUCAGAAAUUAAUGGCUAUGUUAGCACAGAAUCUGGAAGAAAACCAGGUGCAACCUCAACAACCAGAACAACCCAUUGUAUCCAAUAUUUCUGGUAUGACCUCCUUUGUCCCUAAAUCUAAAUGGAUACUUAAUACUGGAGCUACACACCAUGUGUGCUCCGAUUCAUCUUUGUUUGUUUCUGUCCAGGAAAAUAGCAAAAUAAAAUUUGUUGGUUUGCCUAAUGGUGUUAGCACUAGAGUUUCUUUUGUUGGAACUAUUAAAGUGUCUAAUAUCAUUCUUGAAAAUGUCCUUUGUGUUCCUGAUUUUCAACACAAUUUAAUAUCGGUUUGUGCUUUAUCCAAUUCAACAAAUUACUCAUUUUUGUUUCUUCCUAACAAAUGUUUGAUCCAGGAUUUUACCAAGAAUCAAGUGAUUGGGAUUGGUGAAAGAAUUGGGAAUCUUUACUAUCUUUCUGAACCUAAACUUCCUAUUGUUUGUUCCAUUUCAAAUUCCAAAAUAAGUGAUGAAAAUUUAUGGCAUUAUGGACUUGGCCAUGCUUCAUGUGUAAUGAAUCAUUCAUUGAAUAAAGCUUUACAAUUUCAAUA